CCUACGGGGGGCAGCAGUCGAGAAUCAUUCACAAUGGGGGAAACCCUGAUGGUGCGACGCCGCGUGGGGGAAUGAAGUUCUUCGGAUUGUAAACCCCUGUCAUGUGGGAGCAAAUUAAAAAGAUAGUACCACAAGAGGAAGAGACGGCUAACUCUGUGCCAGCAGCCGCGGUAAUACAGAGGUCUCAAGCGUUGUUCGGAAUCACUGGGCGUAACGCGUGCGUAGGCUGUUUCGUAAGUCGUGUGUGAAAGGCGCGGGCUCAACCCGCGGACGGCACAUGAUACUGCGAGACUAGAGUAAUGGAGGGGGAACCGGAAUUCUCGGUGUAGCAGUGAAAUGCGUAGAUAUCGAGAGGAACACUCGUGGCGAAGGCGGGUUCCUGGACAUUAACUGACGCUGAGGCACGAAGGCCAGGGGAGCGAAAGGGAUUAGAUACCCCUGUAGUC
rnacentral:rRNA from 1 species